GUAAAAAUCUGGGGCUCUGCGGGGAGGGGAAGGUGGUGGGAUUUGCAGUUCUGGGAUUGACAAGAAAACAGGACAUGAGGCCAGGUAAAUAGGUAGACCAGAUGGCCCCUCCAAAGUUCACGUUCUGUCUCUCCUGCAAUCCAGUGUUCUAGUUUCCAGGUAGGAAUUUCGUGGCAUAGGCGAAGCCACUGAGGCACAGAAAAGGCCAAUCACCGCCCCAGGUCACGCAGCUAGGGUUGAGGCCUUGGAUGUAAGAUCCCUGCUGCACUCAUUUCAAGACUCCGGGUAGCAUGGGCUCCAGCUGCCUGGCCAGGCCUGCAGAUGGGGAUGAGGGCCAGCUGAUGGGGGACAGUCUUCUGGAGCCCCUCUCUGUAGAGCCAUGUGGCCCGAGGGGGAAGGGAGCCUGGUGGGCAGGGAGGAGCUGCCACAUGGAAGAGGCUUGAUGGGAACCAUCUGGCCUGUGCUGGGAGUGUGGGCUGCAGGAGGAGGGCGGGGCAGGAGGUGGGCAGGAGGCCAUGGUGGGCUGGGCCGGCCCGCUGGUGGAUGGCGGCCGGGGCUGGGAGCGGUGGCCCAGAGGCCCCUGCCUUCCAGACGGCUGUAGCCCAGAUGCCUUUGCAGCCGGCCUGGCCCCGUCCAACCCGCUGACCUCAUUCCCAGCGCCUCCUCCCUCCUCGCAGGCUCCUCGCCUGCCUGCCACGUAGACUCGGCCACAGGGGGAAGGAGAGUGGGACCCAGGUGCCCUGAGCCCAGAGCCCUGCCAGGACCUACAGAGCUGUGGGCAGCCGCUGUGACCACUUGGGGCCUCAGUUUCCUCUCCCCAAACAUGAGGUCCUGGUGUUACUGUCCUGAGGAGCUGGGGCUGUCCCUGCCGUCUGCCCAGGCGUUCCCGGCCGCUCUCCCUUCCAAAAACUCCGGUCCCCCGGACACCCAGGGACCUCCUCCACCCUCAGGCCAUCUUUGCAGCUUGGCCUGGCUCUGGCCCCAGGCUGCACCCUUCGAGGAACUUCUGCUGAGGAGCUGCUCAGAGCUCGGAAGGACCUUCCCGAGAGGAGAGGAGGAGAGAGAGACACAGAGAGAGAGGUGGAGCCAGUUUCCUGGAGUCACAGAGCUGGGAAGUAGCUGCACUGAGAUGAAAACCCAGAAAGUCUCAUGCUUCACUCAGAGACCCAGGACGGAUGCCAAGUGGACCACCCCACCCCACUGCAGAAGUGGCUGUUUGCAGGAAUGCGCUGUCUCCUCUUGGGCUCAUGCACGGGAAGGACCACAGCAUAACGUGGCUGAAACUGACCACAGGCACUAGCCGAGUGGCCAGUCCCAGCUACCCCGCCCUGCCUCCCGUCUGCCCAGGGGCUACUGUGAGCUGACCACACCACGACACACACAGCAUCUCAUUUAUUUCAUUAAAAAAAAACUCUC
rnacentral:lncRNA from 1 species